rnacentral:lncRNA from 1 species
CCCGGCGUCCGGGCGCCCUGCAUGGAUCCCCCACCCCAGCUCCUGCUCCCCGGCGGCGGCCGGUGGGCAGAAAGACCGAAACCCACUCACGGCCGCCUGCCGAAUCGCGGCUCUGCUGUUUGUGGGGCGUGCUAGAAACGUGGUCCUAAAAAGAAUGGCGUCCAUUUACAUAAUGCUUUGUUUGCGUUUCGCAAGUUUCUUUCGGUUAAAGCCACAGAAACCCCACCUCCUGCCCUUGUGUCGUUUCCACCGCGGCACCCUUUUCCGACAUUAGAAACAAUAGUGUACGCCUGUGGAGGCCUCGUUUGUUCAGGGGCUGCCGGCCAGGGCUUCAGGACGUUUCUGCGGCUUUCCCCGCGCGGCCUGGGCUCCCGCGGCUGCUUUUCGGGCCCAUGGGCGCAGCCACUGCGCCAGGCUCAAGGGGGGCGGCCCCGUCAGGGCCCGCCAUCUUGGAAGGCCUUUUUUGCCGGUUCUUCCCGCUGAGGAAGUGUCGCUCAAGACGCUGGCCUAUGAGUUGUGAUUUCUGCCUUUUCCCCUUCCUCCUUGGGCUAAGCCAGACCAGAAAGGGCCCCGUGCGCAACGUGCUUCACAAUCUCUCAGGGAAAGCGGCUAACGUGGCGCUACUCCGCCUCCCCUGUUCCUUACCCUUGGGGCGGCCGCCAUGUUUCCUGAACACAAAAUGGCGACACGUGAGGAAGACAAACAUAAAGAUGAAGUGCUUAAUUCAAGGUCACACAAUGUCGGGGAUGGACCUCCAGAUUUCCUUACUGACCUGCAUUAUCUUGUGGAUACCUGAGUGAAUUCCACACCACCCAUUUUAUAGAUGAAACCACUGAGACAUGGAGCAAUUGACUGAGUAGUCACUGCCCCACCCCUGCCUGGAGCCUCACACAUGACUCGCCUCCUCUCAGUGACCACAGGUGAGACGUGGUCUUGUAACACAGUGGUUAAGAAUGUGACUUUGGAGCCAGCCUGCUAGGGGCUGAAUUCUGACUCAGCCAUUUACUAACUGUGUGACCUUAGGGAGGAGGACCUGGUUGAUAGAAGAAUUUAUCUCGUAGUCUUAACAUCCACUGUAAUUCCAAACUUUGAGGACGAUAGAGAUCAGUGGGCUUUGACUGCCCAGCAUGCAGUCUCCAUUCUUAGGUGGGUUCCCAAGCCUGUAAAAUGUAAGCCUUAUGCUGCUGAGGGCCAUCUUGCCACCCUGAGGGAAACGCUGCCUGAGAAUGAAACAAGCAUAAGUAAAAGCUGAGCUGUGAGAUGGAGCAAGAUGAAGGCCACAUGACAUCUUUGGAGCACCUGGAUCUAACUGUGCCUUAAGCUAGUCUAACCCUGAACAUUUCAUCAUUUCAUUGACAUGAGCCCAGGUUUUCUUUUUUUUUGGAUGGAGUCUUGCUCUGUCGCCCAGGCUGGAGUGCAGUAGCUCAAUCUCGGCUCACUGCAAGCUCCACCUCCCGGGUUCACGCCAUUCUCCUGCCUUAGCCUCCCAAGUAGCUGGGACAACAGGCGCCCACCACCACUCCCAGCUAAUUUUUUGUAUUUUUAGUAGAGACGGGGUUUUACCAUGUUAGCCGGGAUGGUCUUGAUCUCCUGACCUCAUGAUCCGCCCGCCUCGGCCUCCCAAAGUGCUGGGAUUACAGGUGUGAGCCACUGCACCCAGCCCUCAGGUUUUCCCUUUUUUUACCCCUCCUUUUGAAAAUUUGAUGUGGAAUUUUGCCACCUGCAGCCAGAAGAGUUUUAACUAAUCAGUGCCAUAAAUUUUAUAUAGUUCUCCUUGCAAAAUGUGGAUCAGCCUUUCUCAGCAAAUCCUUUGUCAUAAAGUGCUGAAUUGUAAGUUUGUCAUGAGAAUCACAUGAGAUCAUGCAUGUGAAGAACCUGGCAUUAUCCUCCUCAUAGAAAAAAACCAGUAAAUAUUAACUACAGGAAGCAAGGAAGGAGUGGGGUGAGGGGAAGAAGAAGGGGUACUGAUUUAAAAGAACCCUGGAGUCCUAAGGAUAAUCUAGGAACCCUCAGACCCAAUCCGAUACCCCUAUUCUAAAUGCUCCUAGUGCCCUGUACCUUCCCCUCAUAAGCCUUCAUUAUCAUUGUAAUGAUAUGUUUAUGUAAUAUUUUGAUUAAUGUCUCUCCUUCACUGACCUAGCAGUUCUAGCAGGGCAGUGAUUUUGCUGUGUUGCAUCCCCAGCACCUAGUCUGGUAUGUGGCAUUCAGCAUAUGUUUAUUGAAUGAAUGGCCAUGUGGUUAUUCAGAUCCUCCUUGAUUAUUGGGGUUAGGAUUGUGGCAGAAGUGGCAAAAUCAGGGAGAGUAGUCCCUGUCCCCUCUGUAUCUUAUACACUGCCCACACUCCCAACACACAUACACAUACAGAGAAUUUUGUCUCAAUUAGAUAAUUAACUUCUGCUUGGUUGUAAACCAAACCACUGGUUCUUAAACUUUCAUUGGAUCAUUUUAUUGAAGAAUUAAAUAGUGUGGUUCUGGCCUAAUGUCUGGAAAGCCUUGCAGAGGAGUGGAUUAGGUCUUUGUGAUAAACAGGCAGCCUUCCCUGCUCCUGUGUCUUUAUAAAAUCUAUUUAACUGGAGUAGUCCACCCUCCCUCAGGCUCUUACAGGAAUAUGUUGGAGGCUGUAGGAAGGUGGGAAACCGAGAGGGAAAGGACUGGGCCGCUGGAGACUUCACUCAUUCCCUAGCAAGAAACAAAAGCAGUAAAAGGUGGCCCGAGGACAACCUGAAGCUCACUCCUUCAGCACUUUUGGCUGGAGGUCACUUGUUGGAGCCCCACUCAGAGCUCAGCACACCACCCCACCAGCAGCCUCCUCCUCCCAGCUGAGGCUGCAUUUCAUCCCUUCCCCCAGCCUGCUUUCCCUGAGAUAGGGGAGUGUUUCCCAGGGCCCAUGUGACUUCCACUGGCAAGUGACGAUUACCAAUGGUUUACUAGUCAGUGAAACUACCAAAGGCUUUUGUGCUGUAGUAAUCCUUUUCCUGUUUAAAACUCUGGGGAUUUUCUAAUGUUGCCAAUAGUUUUUCAAGUCAGCA